GAAGUCCCACUGUCAUUCUUUGCUCGCCGGGGAUUGAACUUCUGGAGGACUACGGAUCCGGCCGAUGCGGAUAUUUCCUUCUCAGUGAACAUGAUAGUGACAAUGUGGUUGUAUUUCCUGCUGAUUUUGCCACAGCAGGUGACUUGGUGUUGGAGCGAUUUUGGCAAUGGCGGGACCGAGGUGGACCUGUUCCUGCGGCGAAAGAUUGACGACCUCAUGUUGGAACGAAGAACCAGACAAGCUAGUCCGGCCGCACGUGAAAUUGACACAUCGCAGUAUGAUUUAACAUUGCAUCGAGUUAAAUUGAGCCUAAAUCGUACCGUCAUUGGUGACCAUCAGACAUUUUUCGCACGCGUUCGCAGCAGCGGAAACCUGUACCUUUUCUCCGGUAAUCAAAUUUCGCGCAUCACGGUAAACGACGCCGACGUUAAACUGGUUCCGAUCGCUGCAACUCCCGACGUACGCGAAGAAGUGGCAGAUUUCCAGAUUGAAGAGCUGCAGAUUUCUGGAAACAAAACCAUCCUGGUGGCAACUGUGUGUCUACAGGAUCGCUUCAAGAUUUAUCAAUUUCCGGAUCACUCGAAGGGAAAUGCGCUGACUGUCAAAGCUAUGCAGAGGAUUAAACGUCCAGGUCUCAAUCGGCGAUCGGUUUUGGUCCAAUUCAAAUCGGAUUUGUUCUUGAUCAGCGGAUACUCGGAGGCCGGUUUUGGGAAAGUAGCGAUUUAUCGAUGGAUGGAUUAUCAUUUUUCUUUGCGUGAUGUUAAAGAAGUGGAGCGUUGCGACGAGCUACUGGUAUUUAGUGGCGAACAACUAGUUAUUCUCGUGCUCGAAAUUGCUGAAUAUCCCGAACGAUCGGUGAACAAUAUAUACAUGCUUACCGAUGAAUUCAAGUUAAUCAAAACACAGGAAAUGUACUUUUUACACGAUCGCUUGCCGCAUUAUGAAGUGGACAGCCAGUUUUACAUACUGCGAUGCCUUGCCUUAGAUGCAUGCUUCUUGUACCGGUGGAAUGGCGAAAGUCUUUUCCGCCGAGCCAGCAAAAUAGGAUACGACCCAAGGAGCAUCGAAAUGAUGACAUCAGGCCAUGACAUUAUAGUAAUGUCUUUGGAAAAAACACUCUACUUCUAUAACAAUCAACCCUUGCUAAAAAUUGCCGCUUCGUACACCAUGGUUAACAAACGUGGCACUGUGGCCGACGCUCCCUUCCAAAUUGAUCCUCGAGUUAGCAAGUUGUUUCUUUACAAGGAAGCAACAACGGAGAAGCUGUACCUCAGCAUCCUAUAUAGCUCUGGUCCGAAGGUUCUGGACAUGGUUGAAAUGCAGCUCAACAAAGGCAGGAGCGCCCCCAGUCCAGGUGAGCAGUCAAAUUUUAAUGCUCUUAAAACGUGUCUUUUUCACAUAAAAGAUUUGGUAAACAUUCGCAAAAAGUGGAUCGAUAUGAUUAAAUACCAGUUAAGCAAAACACUGCGUAGCUGUAAAUCCAAAGGGCAACUAUCGUUGGCAUCCAAGGUGUACCUAGCUGAAUCGAAUACAGUAGACAGGAUAGAAGUUGAUGGAAAUAUCGAGAACUCUCCCCAGGGCUUGCUAAACGAUUGGAGCUCGACGAGAAGCAGUUUAGCUGCAAUUCACUCACAAUCGCAGGAUCUGUUCUAUUUGAACCGAAUGAAUACCGUGCAGUCCAAUAUGAAAAUCCGGGGAAAUUUGCGAUCGAAAUCGACACGAAUGAAACACGUUAAAGUACAGCAUCCUCAUUCGGGAAGACCAGCCUACGUGCGACCCAAGAGGGAUCUACAGUCAUCAAAGGUAGUGACAUCCGCCAUAGUCAACGCUCGAGAAGUGGUUUACAGUGGGAACAUGUUUGCACAUACACUUAGUCGUAACAAUAUAAACUACGUUUCGUUGCCCAUUCAUGUCGGCAAUCUUCAUACACCAACGGUUCAUGUCAGUUUGAAUACAAUCAACCGGAUCCCAAUCGAUGAAAUGUUGUACAAUGCGACCAAUAAAGUUAUAGAAAAGGGUCACAAAGUGUUCAAAUCUAUGGACACAGACGCCCUCAAAGUGUACCUGGUGAAUGGAGUUAAAACAACACAGCAGUUUUCUAGUCUAAGAAAUUUCGUCGUGACAGCCGGCACUGGAGCUCCUGUAAAACUGACCGGAGCACGUGGCGUUACAAAUCUGAUCGUGAGUGGUAAAUUGAACAACAUUCCUUUGGAUGAUCUGCUACAACAGCUGUACUAUGUGGAUAAAAAAUCAACAAUCAAUGGGAAUGUUUUUCUACGGGCACCUUCACACAUACGGAAUGUAUACACUAGACACCUGAAUAAUAUUCCUACCAGCAGCUUUUUCGAUUUAAGAACGAAUCAAACCAUUUCUGCCGUUGUGCAUUUAUCACAAGUGUAUGCUCGAACUUUGUACAGUAAAACAAUCAAUGGAAUUAACAUUCCCAACGAUGUCACGCUGAUAAGCUCGGCAAAAACCAUAAACGCGGCACUGGCAUCCAAUUUUGUCGUCACGAAAGAUCUCACACUUUCGGCAAAGGAUCAGCACUUUACCAGGCAUGUACUGGGAACCAAGGUUGAAGAUUUCUCUCAAAUCUACUCGGGACGUGUAUAUUUGAAAGGUUCUCUGAAGGUAAAACAACUUAAUCUGGAAAUCCCGAAAGGUCAACUUAUUUUGGGUGGACUCACGGCUAGUCCGGAUGUGCAGAAACAUUUCUGGAUGAAACACGUCGAGCAGGACAUAGGAACCUUUACCUUCAACCGCAAUGUCGAGGCAAGUCAUCUGGUUUGUGCCGAAUUGAACUACAACCCCACGGUAAACUACCUGAGGGGUGACCAGUGGCCGUCGCAUCUGAAUCUUGAGAUGUCUAACGUCUAUGUUCGAGGUUUCAUAAAAACUUAUGCUACCACUCCUACUUUCCUGCAAUACAUUAACACCGAGGCAGUUCAGCGCGGAUCUAUGUCCACUGUAUCAGGUCGUAAGAUCUUCACUGGCCAGCUACACACCGAUACACUCGUCUCAGAUGCCGUGGAUAAUAUCAACAUACAGAGCUUGGCAACUGACUUCAGCACGAUGGCGUUCCUCGAUGGAGUCAAGGAAAUUGAACAUUUCUCAUCGGAGGAAAGUUAUAUCGAAUUGCUCGGUGCGUUGACUUUACAGGACUACCAGAAUACUUCGUUCAGCGUAAUGGUGGACAGCAGUGUAAAUACGCACACCAUGCAAAGUUUGGAGUAUAUGUUCCUACCGGAUAUAAAAGUAGAACAUUUCCAAGCAGCGCUGAUCAAUGGGGUGAACGCAGAAGAUUUUAUAUCCGAAAUUGAUAAUUUUACGUACCGCGUGGAUCCCUUUGCCACGCAGUUCAAGAUAGACAAUCUGGUUGUGAAGAAAAACGUUAUUUCAACUAGCCAAAUGUACUUUUUGAACACUAUCGGCGUGAAGGAAUAUUUCAAAUUGUUGACCCUGAAGGGUGUCGGUGACAAAGCGCAACAGUGGGAAAUCGGCGGAAGUAAAAUUUUUCAAAAAGAAAUGGCAGUCGAUGGGAAGUUGAACGUGGUGCACGUCAAUCGUUUGAUCCUGGACAACAUUCUCUACAAUUCAGCUCGGAAAACGACUCCUUUGAACAUCGCUGGUUUAUGGAGCAUAACGCAACUUGCGACGAAGUAUUUAGCGACAAAGCAAAUAAAUGAUGUCCCAAUCAAGCAUUUGCAAAAUUCCAACUUGAAAACAUGCAAAAUAAAACACGAUGUUUCCAUUGGUUCGCUGUCGGUAUCUAGUAGUGUACACGGUCACAUGUUUCCGAAUAGUUCAUCAGUGUUGAUGCCUCCAAAUAUUCAGCUGCUCUCCAGCUUGACCGUCCAAGGAUCGUUUUUACUGGAGCACUGGAAGCCUGGAACGUUCUUAUUCGAUGUGAUGUUAUCAACCGUGACGGGUGCAUCGAACGUUUUCGAUAGAAAGGUUGUUUUCCGAGGAAACCACGUAGAGAUUGUGAAGCUACGAAACGAAGGCAAAAUUUUUAGCAAAACUUGCAAUUUUGUCAACUUGCUAAUGGACUCGGUAAAGAGGAAACAACCCAAUCUCGUUUUCAGCAGUCUUGGAAAAACGUUCAAAGAAGUAGUUUGUCUCGGCACGGUGGCUUCUGAUGAUCUUGUUACAGUAACAUUGGUCAACGGAAUAGAUGUGGUUCAUUUGAAUCGGAGCAUUCACUCAGUUGGACACCACCAGGAAAUGAUCAAGUCGACCAAGUAUUUUGAAGAGGAAGUCAAAGUUGUACAACUGCUCUGCAACGAUCAGCUGGUCGACGGCAUUUAUCCGCAUCAUUUAGAUCUUUACUCCGAGGCAAGCCAAUUGACCAAGAAACGAUACCAAUUUGAUAAACCUAUUUCCGUUAUCGGAAACUUGUACGUCGAUGCCGUCAACGACUAUUCGCUUCAACAUUUCUUGGCAACUCGCGUGGUUAAGAACAGGACGUACGCACAGGAGUACCAACAGGAAAAGUCUCAACAAGUAACAGGAUUAAUAACGUUCUCAAACUUGGUCCUUUUCGGAGAAUAUAACACAGUCCAUGUAGUUAACGGUAUUCCGGUAAGCGAGAUUGUGUCCAGAUCGUCCAACGAGCAUCAGGUUAUGGUUAAGCCAAAACAUUUGAAAGGAACCAUCAAGCUGCUUGGACCUACCUCGGUCAUGAAAUGCAACGACGUGAAUUUGUUAGAUGUCUACAAAUCCAGCUUUUUGACCAGCUCGCCUGAAAUCGCUUUUAAAGAUCUGGUUUUUGUAUCCGAGAGCACUUUGCAAAAUGGAUUAUCAAUUGACAGUAGACUGAAUGGUGUUUCUGUUCAGAAAAUGAUGAAACUUCGGCUGUCCUCAGUGGAGGACCUGUUGCCAAUGAUUCCGGUAAUCAGAGAGCAGAUAACUGUAUCUAACAGAGCAUACGUUGCCAAUAGUGCGAAGGAGUCCCGCAUGUUGUACAUUGAGAAUGUUCCGUUUGAUGAAAGAGGUACUAUGGUCAGCAAAAGUGAAAAUAGGCAGUCAAGUGAAGCGUCCGAAAAUGUAAAUUUUGACAAAUCCUGCCACAACGGAAUUAAUCGCUUCAACGUUACCAUACGUCAGAGGUCAUCGAACGGAGAUAUAAGUUCUGCCAGGGCCGUAUUAGAUGGAGUAUUGAUAAGAUCGGAAUGGAAAGAACUUGCGUAUAACGAAGAAAUUGAAACACUCGUAGUUUCACAGAUCGAGAGAAAUGCCAAGCCGAUGCUACUUAUUUACGUCAACAGAAAUGGAGAACUCAGUAUUCAGCAGGAGCUUCCGCUGAGCUCAUCGGCAGCAGUAUUCUAUAUGGUGCACAUUAAUGAUUCAGCGCUUAUGUUGGCUGUAGCGGACUCCCAUCAGCUUCACCUAGGCAUCUUUGCCCAUAAGCUCAAAUUAUUCCGCUAUGAUUCGGAUGCGAUGCGCUUUGUGCAUUUGAAAACGCUCAGUGGUAGCUAUAAUGAUGUGGCGGCUAUUGAUGUCGAGGAUGCGAUAAUGUUUGCAGUUUCCGAGAAGGGCUCCAACAUGGUGGAAAUAUUUUCCCUGGAACGUUCGUAUUCAUCGCUGUAUCAAAAGUUGAUUUUCGAUUCUACUGUGAACUCCAUGAAGGCGUUCAGGCUACAAGGGUCUCCGGUUAUCCAGAUAUCGACUAUUGACAAUUUAGUCUACGUUUACAGUUAUAGUACUCUUGAGGGCUGGCGGCAACUAUCGUACGGCAGGAUACCGUCUGAUGUGAACUAGGCUGGGCUUUGAUAUUGCUUUUUAUCAUUUUAAUAUGAUAUCUCUAAGCUAGUUGUUGGUUAUGUUCUUUGUGUUAUUCUGUAUGUUUUUUGAGAACUGCAAAUAUGUUUGCCAAUUGAUCGAAAACGUAGUAUAUGUGUUAUUACAAAAUUAAUUGUUUCGAAUAUAUUCAUCUUUAUCUUUGGGGUAAUUACAAUCCCCGUUCCCGA